GAUAUCAAAUUAGGAAGCUAUCUGCUAAACAGCUGAAAUAUCAAAAUUGUAAAACAACGUCGUGUGGAAUUUUGGUCUUUCAACUGUUUAGAAGAUAGCUCCCUAAUUUGGUACC